GUAUUGAUUGUGCAUUAUCACAAAUAGUAAGACAUUCUACACAUGCAGUGGUUUUGUAUAAAAACGCAAAUGCCCCCUUUUGGAACAAACCAAAAGGAGAGCACCCACGCGGUGAUUCACAAAGGGGUGAGAUGGAUUUUGUGCGAGAGCGCUCGGGCGUGCACGACCUUUGAAGGUCAGCGACAGCCCUCGCACCUCGGUUGUACGAUAAUGAUCCUUCCGCAGGUUCACCUACGGAAA
rnacentral:misc_RNA from 1 species